UGAGCAACAGUCUUAUUGUGAAAUCUUGGUCUCCGUGUGGCAGCAGCUAUUAGAAUCAAAGCGGCUCGGAUUCCUCCGGUGGAGACAGUAGCAGAAACCUGCCAAUCGGGUGAGAGCAGGAGGGAGGAGAGGAUGAGGAGGGAAAUGAAUGAGUGCAGGAUUCGCUCCCUGAGGGGAAGACGUUUUACUGAACAGGACAGCCAGAUAACGGCCGGCAUGUUUAUACGGCCAGGCUGGACUCUGCACUCCUGCUCAGCUCGCUGGGACAUUCUGUCCAAACCAGGAAGAAGAUGCUUCUUUUUGUCGCCCAGCCAACCGACAGGAUAAUAAACGAGUGAUAUUUUCA